rnacentral:rRNA from 1 species
AUUGAACGCUGGCGGCAGGCUUAACACAUGCAAGUCGAGCGAGCGGAGGACGGGUGAGUAAUGGCUGGGAAACUGCCUGAUGGAGGGGGAUAACUACUGGAAACGGUAGCUAAUACCGCAUACUGUCGGAUGAACCCAUAUGUGAUUAGCUAGUAGGUGGGGUCAAGGCUCACCUAGGCGGCGAUUGAUAGCUGGUAUGAGAGGAGGAUCAGCCACACUGAGACUUAGACACGGCCCAGACUCCUACGGGAGGCAGCAGUGGGGAAUAUUGCACAAUGGGCGCAAGCCUGAUACAGCCAUGCCGCGUGUAUGAAGAAGGCCUUAGGGUUGUAAAGUACUUUCAGCGGGGAGGCGUUACCCGCAGAAGAAGCACCGGCUAACUCCGUGCCAGCAGCCGCGGUAAUAC